GCUGGAGUUGCUAGUAAUCGCGAAUCAGCAUGUCGCGGUGAAUACGUUCCCGGGCCUUGUACACACCGCCCGUCACACCAUGAGAGUUGGCAAUACCCAACGUACGUGAUCUAACCCGCAAGGGAGGAAGCGUCCUAAGGUAGGGUCAGCGAUUGGGGUGAAGUCGUAACAAGGUAGC
rnacentral:rRNA from 1 species